rnacentral:lncRNA from 10 species
GGCCCCUGCUCCUCAGUGGUGCAGCCACAAGCAGAAUUUUCAGAAGCAUGGAUGGGAUUUCCGACUUCAUCUAGACUUCACAUCCGCUUUGUUCAGAAAAGAAAACUCAGGCCCGGAGACGGAUAGUUAGUGAUUUGCCAAAGGUCGUGUAGACAUCAGUAUUGCUGCCAUCCCAGGAGCCAGACUCAAAUCUCCUUACUGACCUGUCUAUCUCAACACCCUUUAGAAAGAGAGCCACCAACACUGGAGUUGGAGAGGCUAGGGGUUUGUUUGAACAGAGAAGGGAUAGUGUGAGGUCAAGGAUGCAAAUUUCUAAAAUUCUGAGCUGGGUUAAAAGAAAAAUCUUUCUCUACUGUGGUAAUAUCCACAUUGGAACAAGGGACCCUCCUCUCAUCCCUUCAUCACCAGACUAUAUUCAAGUCACGUAUCCCCACCCAGAGGGAAAGGUUAGCUGCAGAUGAAGAAGAUGGAGCACAAACACUAUUAUUGCCUGAUUCACUUUGUGGAAAAUUUUCUAAUCCUGGCCCUGCCAUUUCCUGGCUGCGUGUCCUUGGGAUAGCAGACCAAGAUAGCCUGUCCACAGAGGCUGGGUGCAAGACCCAGGCUGAUCCAAUCCUAAGACCAUAUCCUCCUGGCAAAAUCAGAGAGGAGCGUGCGACCAAGAUGGGCCAUUCAGAUGCUGUUUCAAACAUUUAACGUAUGUAACUACAUUUAUGCCUCACGCAAUGGACUGAAUAUUUCUGUCUCCCCAGAUUUG